rnacentral:ncRNA from 1 species
GGUCAGGUAGAGAAUACCGAGGCGUUCGGGUGAACUAUGGUUAAGGAACUCGGCAAAAUGCCCCCGUAACUUCGGGAGAAGGGGGGCCAUCACUGGUGAUUGGAUUUACUCCAUGAGCUGGGGGUGGCCGCAGAGACCAGCGAGAAGCGACUGUUUACUAAAAACACAGGUCCGUGCGAAGCCGUAAGGCGAUGUAUACGGACUGACGCCUGCCCGGUGCUGGAACGUUAAGGGGACCGGUUAGUCACAUUUCGGUGUGGCGAAGCUGAGAACUUAAGCGCCAGUAAACGGCGGUGGUAACUAUAACCAUCCUAAGGUAGCGAAAUUCCUUGUCGGGUAAGUUCCGACCUGCACGAAUGGCGUAACGACUUCUCGACUGUCUCAACCAUAGGCCCGGUGAAAUUGCACUACGAGUAAAGAUGCUCGUUUCGCGCAGCAGGACGGAAAGACCCCGGGACCUUUACUACAGUUUGAUAUUGGUGUUCGGUUCGGCUUGUGUAGGAUAGCUGGGAGACUGUGAAGCUUGGACGCCAGUUCAGGUGGAGUCGUCGUUGAAAUACCAGUCUGGUCGUGCUGGAUGUCUAACCUGGGUCCGUGAUCCGGAUCAGGGACAGUGUCUGAUGGGUAGUUUAACUGGGGCGGUUGCCUCCUAAAGAGUAACGGAGGCGCCCAAAGGUUCCCUCAGCCUGGUUGGCAAUCAGGUGUUGAGUGUAAGUGCACAAGGGAGCUUGACUGUGAGACCGACGGGUCGAGCAGGGACGAAAGUCGGGACUAGUGAUCCGGCGGUGGCUUGUGGAAGCGCCGUCGCUCAACGGAUAAAAGGUACCCCGGGGAUAACAGGCUGAUCUUCCCCAAGAGUCCAUAUCGACGGGAUGGUUUGGCACCUCGAUGUCGGCUCGUCGCAUCCUGGGGCUGGAGUCGGUCCCAAGGGUUGGGCUGUUCGCCCAUUAAAGCGGUACGCGAGCUGGGUUUAGAACGUCGUGAGACAGUUCGGUCCCUAUCCGCUGCGCGCGCAGGAAUAUUGAGAAGGGCUGUCCCUAGUACGAGAGGACCGGGACGGACGAACCUCUGGUGUGCCAGUUGUUCUGCCAAGGGCAUGGCUGGUUGGCUACGUUCGGGAGGGAUAACCGCUGAAAGCAUCUAAGCGGGAAGCCUGCUUCGAGAUGAGUAUUCCCACCCACUUGAUGGGGUAAGGCUCCCAGUAGACGACUGGGUUGAUAGGCCGGAUGUGGAAGCCCAGUAAUGGGUGAAGCUGACUGGUACUAAUAGGCCGAGGGCUUGUCCUC